GUGCUUGCUUCGGCAGCACAUGUACUAAAAUUGGAAUGAUACAAAGAUUAGCCUGGCCCCUGUGUAAGUAUGACACCCAAAUUCAUGAAGCAUUCUAUAUUUUU